rnacentral:ncRNA from 18 species
AAAAACUGACGACUCCGAGCUUGUUGACCUAAGUUGCAAAAUAAGGUUGCAAGCCUGUAACAUUGUCAAAUGUUGCACAUGGUACAACUAGAAAUGGUUGUGCCACUCCCUUUAGAAAGGUGUCGAAAAUAAAACUUU